UCCGGUGAGGAACUAAAGUCAGACGCUUCAGUUCCGUGUGUCCGCGGAAGGAGGCCUCAGUUCCAAUUCUGCCCAACCUUGAUGAACUGUUGCAGUGGUGCAAAUUGGACUGAAUCCAAAAAGAAUGGAAUGCUGGAAUCAAAUACUGGACUUAACGGGUCCAAAAUGCUAAUGGAAAAAGCAGAGCCAAGACAUCAGCUGCAGGAACAAAACAUCAUAAAUCAUCUAUGGAAGCCCUAUCUUCAUCAUCACUGUGAAGCACUUGACAUCCUGGGGUGGAAGGUCAGUGUUUCCUAGAUCAUAUUCAGAAGGCGAAAAAUAUGUAGACAUAUCAAAGACAGACAAUCAUCCACAUAUUGAUGUUCACAAAUAAUAACUUUUUUAGAUUACCCACAAAAACAGUAAACAAUAAUGACACACUGGUGCUUAACGAUUUAUUUUUCUUGUUGAAAAUAAGUGUUGAUGAGACUGAACCACUAACUGAUGCAACUGUCACUAUAAUGUUCAGCAUACAAGGCAUUGGUAUCGAUUUGUAAAGUGUAAAGUGUCUGCACAUUUCAACAAUGAUUGACUAACGUCGUCUCUUUGGGUGAGAUCGUACUCCAGGUCGGCGUGAGAGUACGACUUCAUGCACACAUCAUCCACAUUUGGGAUAGUCUGAAUGAAUCUCCCCAAAAGGCGCAUUUUUUUUGUUGUUGUUGUAGACAUUCGUUCAUCUAUGCAUUCAUUCAUAGUUAGGCAGGCCGGCUGCUGGGCCGACUUCUGGUGUGACACCUUCACAGUGGUGCUGCUUGACAUCCGUGUAGAAACCUGGUGUUUGGUCUUGGCGCUGUCAAGAAGUCACAAGAGUGCAAAAGGACAACACUGGGCGAUACGUUUACGGCCAUCUUUUUUUUUUUUUGGCUUCCCAAAUUGAUGUAGCGCUCUUAUCCUCUGUGUUGAUGGCUUUUGUUUGGCACAGUUCUGCCCGUGGAAACCCCCUGAAAUUGGCUGUGGUACCAGGAGGGGCUUGAUGGAUGGGGGACUUCCAAAGAAAAUCCACCCUGUGUCGAAGGAAUUUUUACGUUACCCUUAUUUGUCUGCUUUGCUGGAUGCUUUCCUACAUUUCCCAGCAUGCCUUGAUUUUCUAACCUUUUAAGUCGUCCCAUCCAUAAGCCCUCUGCCGAUAUAGACUGCUACUGCACGCUACAGGCGGGACAGCACACCUCUCUGCGGUCCGGCAGUGGGCAAAAGUCCAUCUGCCGUACGAUCUCGGUGAACAGCUCAUCCACCAUGGUCUUGCUCUUGGCAGAGGUCUCCAUGAAGGGGCAGCCCCAGUCCUCCGCCAGUGCUUGGCCCUCGC